UUUAAAAAAAAUGCACAGAAUCUUGAAGGUAGUUGUUUGCAAGAAAAGGAGAAACCGCCUGGGUGCUCGCCGUGCCAUCAGAAUCAUUAUCUCAGCCGCUCGACUCCUUAAACCCUCUGAAAGGGUAACGGUAGUAACUCAUUCCUCACUUGGUGGUUUCCCAUCCUGUAUGGCUCUCAGGUCUUCAGUCAUGAUAACUCACUGUCCCUCAUGAAUCACAGGGCCUGAGGUGAAGACAGACGACUCAUCUCCUUCGCCAUCUGUCCCCUUUUGACAAGCUUGUCGAAGGAAGAUGUCGGUUCAUCAUCAUAACGCUCUCUGCUACAGCGGCUCUAGUCUCCUCUCCCGCAGCGGCUCUAGUCUCCUCUGCCGCAGCGGCUCUAGUCUCCUCUGCCGCAGCGGCUCUAGUCUCCUCUGCCGCAGCGGCUCUAGUCUCCUCUGCCGCAGCGGCUCUAGUCUCCUCUGCCGCAGCGGCUCUAGUCUCCUCUCACGCAGCGGCUCUAGUCUCCUCUCCCGCAGCGGCUCUAGGUCUCCUCUCACGCAGCGGCUCUAGGUCUCCUCUCACGCAGCGGCUCUAGGUCUCCUCUCACGCAGCGGCUCUAGGUCUCCUCUGCUACAGCGGCUCUAGGUCUCCUCUGCUACAGCGGCUCUAGGUCUCCUCUCACGCAGCGGCUCUAGGUCUCCUCUCACGCAGCGGCUCUAGGUCUCCUCUCCCGCAGCGGCUCUAGUUCUCCUCUCACGCAGCGGCUCUAGGUCUCCUCUCCCGCAGCGGCUCUAGGUCUCCUCUGCUACAGCGGCUCUAGGUCUCCUCUGCUACAGCGGCUCUAGGUCUCCUCUGCUACAGCGGCUCUAGGUCUCCUCUGCUACAGCGGCUCUAGGUCUCCUCUGCCGCAGCGGCUCUAGGUCUCCUCUGCCGCAGCGGCUCUAGGUCUCCUCUGCCGCAGC
ensembl:lncRNA